GACGAACGCUGGCGGCGUGCCUAAUACAUGCAAGUUGAGCGAUGAAGAUUGGUGCUUGCACCAAUUUGAAGAGCAGCGAACGGGUGAGUAACGCGUGGGGAAUCUGCCUUUGAGCGGGGGACAACAUUUGGAAACGAAUGCUAAUACCGCAUAACAACUUUAAACAUAAGUUUUAAGUUUGAAAGAUGCAAUUGCAUCACUCAAAGAUGAUCCCGCGUUGUAUUAGCUAGUUGGUGAGGUAAAGGCUCACCAAGGCGAUGAUACAUAGCCGACCUGAGAGGGUGAUCGGCCACAUUGGGAAUGAGACACGGCCCAAACUCCUACGGGAGGCAGCAGUAGGGAAUCUUCGGCAAUGGACGAAAGUCUGACCGAGCAACGCCGCGUGAGUGAAGAAGGUUUUCGGAUCGUAAAACUCUGUUGGUAGAGAAGAACGUUGGUGAGAGUGGAAAGCUCAUCAAGUGACGGUAACUACCCAGAAAGGGACGGCUAAAUACGUG
rnacentral:rRNA from 1 species